GACGAACGCUGGCGGCGUGCUUGACACAUGCAAGUCGAGCGGUAAGGCCCUUUCGGGGGUACACGAGCGGCGAACGGGUGAGUAACACGUGGGUGACCUGCCCUUAGCUCUGGGAUAAGCCUGGGAAACUGGGUCUAAUACCGGAUAUGACUCCAUGACGCAUGUUGUGGGGUGGAAAGCCUUGUGCGGCUAGGGAUGGGCCCGCGGCCUAUCAGCUUGUUGGUGGGGUGAUGGCCUACCAAGGCGACGACGGGUAGCCGGCCUGAGAGGGCGACCGGCCACACUGGGACUGAGACACGGCCCAGACUCCUACGGGAGGCAGCAGUGGGGAAUCUUGCGCAAUGGGCGAAAGCCUGACGCAGCGACGCCGCGUGGGGAUGACGGCCUCGG
rnacentral:rRNA from 1 species